rnacentral:rRNA from 1 species
CGCCUCUUGACACAUAAGAGGUCCAGCCUGCCCAGUGAGUUUAACGGCCGCGGUAUUUUAACCGCGCAAAGGUAGCACAAGUAAUUGUCUUUUAAUUGUAGAAGUGAAUGAAAGGCAUCACGAGGAUUAAGCUGUCUCCUUUCUCCAAUCAAUGAAACUAAUCUUCUCGUGAAAAAGCGAGAAUAACCCCAUAAGACGAAAAGACCCUAUGGAGCUUUAAACAACUAACACCUACUCAUAAUUUACAUCAAGUAGCCUGAUUAGUUUUUGGUUGGGGCGACCACGGAGCACAACACAUCCCCCGCGUUUAAAUAACAAGCGACAGCUUUAUAAAUCAACAAAUUGACAUAAUUGACCCAAAUUUGAUCAACGAACCCAGUUACCCUAGGGAUAACAGCGCCAUCCGCUUCAAGAGCACACAUCGACAAGCGGGCUUACGACCUCGAUGUUGGAUCCGGGUAACCUAGUGGAGUAACUUCUACUCAAGGUUCGUUUGUUCAACGAUUAAAACCCGACGUGAUCUGAGU